GGGCCCGCACAAGCGGAGGAACAUGUGGUUUAAUUCGAUGAUACGCGAGGAACCUUACCCGGGCUCGAACGGCUAAUGAAUUACCGAGAGAUUGGUAAGUCGCAAAACAUUAGUCGAGGUGCUGCAUGGUUGUCGUCAGCUCGUGCCGUGAGGUGUCGGCUUAAGUGCCAUAACGAGCGCAACCCUUGUCGUUAGUUGCCAUCAGGUAGAGCUGGGGACUCUGACGAGACUGCCACCGUAAGGUGUGAGGAAGGGGGGAUGACGUCAAAUCAGCACGGCCCUUACGUCCGGGGCGACACACGUGUUACAAUGGGGGGUACAGAGGGUAGCUACCAGGCGACUGGAUGCGAAUCUCGAAAACCCUUCUCAGUUCGGAUUGGAGUCUGCAACCCGACUCCAUGAAGUUGGAUUCGCUAGUAAUCGCGCAUCAGCCACGGCG
rnacentral:rRNA from 1 species